UACGUAGGGGGCAAGCGUUGUCCGGAAUCAUUGGGCGUAAAGAGCGUGUAGGCGGCUCGGUAAGUCCGCUGUGAAAGUCCAGGGCUCAACCCUGGAAUGCCGGUGGAAACUGUCGAGCUAGAGUCCGGAAGAGGCGAGUGGAAUUCCUGGUGUAGCGGUGAAAUGCGCAGAUAUCAGGAGGAACACCAAUGGCGAAGGCAGCUCGCUGGGACGGCACUGACGCUGAGACGCGAAAGCGUGGGGAGCAAACAGG
rnacentral:rRNA from 1 species